AGUGAACGCUGGCGGUAGGCCUAACACAUGCGAGUCGAACGGCAGCACAGUAAGAGCUUGCUCUUACGGGUGGCGAGUGGCGGACGGGUGAGGAAUACAUCGGAAUCUACUUUUUCGUGGGGGAUAACGUAGGGAAACUUACGCUAAUACCGCAUACGACCUACGGGUGAAAGCAGGGGAUCUUCGGACCUUGCGCGAUUGAAUGAGCCGAUGUCGGAUUAGCUAGUUGGCGGGGUAAAGGCCCACCAAGGCGACGAUCCGUAGCUGGUCUGAGAGGAUGAUCAGCCACACUGGAACUGAGACACGGUCCAGACUCCUACGGGAGGCAGCAGUGGGGAAUAUUGGACAAUGGGCGCAAGCCUGAUCCAGCCAUACCGCGUGAGUGAAGAAGGCCUUCGGGUUGUAAAGCCCUUUUGUUGGGAAAGAAAAGCAGCAGGUUAAUACCCCGCUGUUCUGACGGUACCCAAAGAAUAAGCACCGGCUAACUUCGUG
rnacentral:rRNA from 1 species